GACGUAGGGCGCGAGCGUUGUCCGGAAUUAUUGGGCGUAAAGAGCUCGUAGGCGGUCUGUCGCGUCGGUCGUGAAAACCUGCAGCUUAACUGUGGGCGUGCGGUCGAUACGGGCAUGACUGGAGUUCGGCAGGGGAGACUGGAAUUCCUGGUGUAGCGGUGAAAUGCGCAGAUAUCAGGAGGAACACCGGUGGCGAAGGCGGGUCUCUGGGCCGAUACUGACGCUGAGGAGCGAAAGCGUGGGGAGCGAACAGG
rnacentral:rRNA from 1 species